rnacentral:rRNA from 1 species
CCUGGUUGAUCCUGCCAGUAGUCAUAUGCUUGUCUCAAAGAUUAAGCCAUGCAUGUCUAAGUAUAAACAACUUUAUACUGUGAAGCUGCGAAUGGCUCAUUAAAUCAGUUAUAGUUUAUUUGAUAGUACCUUACUACUUGGAUAACCGUAGUAUUUCUAGAGCUAAUACAUGCGAAAAGACCCGACUUUUUGGAAGGGUUGCAUUUAUUAGAUACAAAACCAAUGGCCAGCAAUGGUCACACUUGGUGAUUCAUAAUAACUUUUGCGGAUCGCAUAGCUUUACGCUGGCGACGAAUCAUUCAAAUUUCUGCCCUAUCAACUUUCGAUGGUACGGUAUUGGCCUACCAUGGUUACAACGGGUAACGGGGAAUUAGGGUUCGGUUCCGGAGAGGGGGCCUGAGAAAUGGCCACCACAUCCAAGGAAGGCAGCAGGCGCGCAAAUUACCCAAUCCUGAUACAGGGAGGUAGCGACAAUAAAUAACAAUGCAGGACCUUUACGGGUUUUGUAAUUGGAAUGAGUACAAUUUAAAUCUCUUAACGAGUACCAAUUGGAGGGCAAGUCUGGUGCCAGCAGCCGCGGUAAUUCCAGCUCCAAUAGCGUUUAUUAAAGUUGUUGCAGUUAAAAAGCUCGUAGUUGAAUCUCGGAGUCCUUUUUUCUUCGGAAACGCCGAUGGUCGGAAACCCAGAGCCUCGAAAGGGGUGGAUGGGGCUGUUUACUUGAGGCAGGGCUCACAUCUGAGUUUCUCGAAGGUGGCCUCUGCUCUUCACUGGGUUGGGGGACUUUUUCACAUUCGAGACAUUUACUUUGAAAAAAUUAGAGUGUUCAAAGCAGGCAGUUUCGCUUGAAUACAUUAGCAUGGAAUAAUGGAAUAGGACUUUGGUCUUAUUUUGUUGGUUUCUAGGACUGAAGUAAUGAUUAAUAGGGACAGUUGGGGGCAUUAGUAUUUAAUUGUCAGAGGUGAAAUUUCUUGGAUUUAUGAAAGACUAACUUCUGCGAAAGCAUUUGCCAAGGAUGUUUUCAUUAAUCAAGAACGAAAGUUAGGGGAUCGAAGACGAUUAGAUACCGUCGUAGUCCUAACCAUAAACUAUGCCGACUCGGGAUCGGUGAGCGUGUUUUUUUACUACCUCAUCAGCACCGUAGGAGAAAUCAAAGUUUUUGGGUUCUGGGGGGUGUAUGGUCGCAAGGCUGAAACUUAAAGGAAUUGACGGAAGGGCACACCAGGUUUGGAGCCUGCGGCUUAAUUUGACCCAACACGGGGAACUCACCAGGUCCAGACAUCGUAAGGAUUGACAGAUUGAGAGCUCUUUCUCGAUUCGAUGGAAAGUGGUGCAUGGCCGUUCUUAGCUGGUGGAUUGCUCUGUCUGGUUUAUUCCGUUAACGAACGAGACCUUAACCUGCUAAAUAGUUACGAGAAUCUC